UACGUAGGGUGCAAGCGUUAAUCGGAAUUAUUGGGCGUAAAGCGUGCGUAGGCGGUUUGUUAAGUCCGCUGUGAAAUCCCCGAGCUCAACUUGGGAAUUGCAGUGGAUACUGGCAAGCUGGAGUAUGGUAGAGGAAGGUGGAAUUCCCGGUGUAGCAGUGAAAUGCGUAGAGAUCGGGAGGAACGCCGGUGGCGAAGGCGGUUCUCUGGGCCUGUACUGACGCUGAGGAGCGAAAGCGUGGGGAGCGAACAGG
rnacentral:rRNA from 1 species